GAUGAAGAACGCAGCGAAAUGCGAUAAGUAAUGUGAAUUGCAGAAUUCAGUGAAUCAUCGAAUCUUUGAACGCACAUUGCGCCCGCCAGUAUUCUGGCGGGCAUGCCUGUUCGAGCGUCAUUUCAACCAUCAAGCCCCCGGGCUUGUGUUGGGGACCUGCGGCUGCCCGCAGGCCCUGAAAACCAGUGGCGGGCUCGCUGUCACACCGAGCGUAGUAGCAUAUCAUCUCGCUCUGGGCGUGCUGCGGGUUCCGGCCGUUAAAGCCUUUUCUUUACCCAAGGUUGACCUCGGAUCAGGUAGGAAGACCCGCUGAACUUAAGCAUAUCAAUAAGCGGAGGA
rnacentral:misc_RNA from 1 species